GGGCAGGGUUAGCUAGGGUUCGGGAGGCGGCUGCCGGAUGGGCCUUAGAGGCCGGCGGGUGGGCUCUCCUCUCUCUCUCUUUCUCUCAAAAGAAAAGAAACAAAAUAGAGAUAAGAAAUAAAAGAAAGAGAGGGUUACGGAAAGAAUUUGGGCAUGGGGUUAAUUUACUUGGACUCACAAAAAUGUGCACGGUCCAUGAAAAAUAGGAGUGGCAAGAUUGCAGGAAUUAAAUUCAAAGUCAUUUGAAUUUAAUUCAAAAGGUUUGAGCAAGGACUAGGAAUUAGAGGUUUCCAAAAAUGUUGGGAUUUUUGGUGGAGCUCCGGAAGAUGAUGAAAGAAUAAAUGGCAAAGUUGGAGAUCAAGAAUUAAGACAACAAAGGCAUUAGGAUAUUUUGUAAGUGUGUUUGCGGUAAAUCCAAAUAAUUGGAAUAUUUACUAUAGCUCUCUAAAUAUCGAGAGGAUAUGUUUUAAAGAGAAUCACCAUGUGAAUUCCCUCGAUUUAAAUGGAUCAAAGAUCCAUGCCAUUUAUUUAGUUGAGUUGCAAAAGAUUUAUGAGAUGAUGGCAUGAUGACAUGAUGCAAUGCAAAAAUAAAUAGAGCAAGCACAAAUAAAAAACACACAGAGGUCACAAAAAUAUGGAAGUCUUCUGGACCGUCGGUCUCGGGGCGUUACAACACUCCACCACUACAAGAGGAUCUCGUCCCGAGAUCUAGGAUGGCACCGGAGAGAAACGGAAGAGGAAGAGAGGUGGUAAAACUAAGUUGCUUCUUUGACGAACCAGUGAAACCACGAACCUUGAGAGGUUGAGCAAUUUAAAAGAAAGAGUACAACAGAGAUGAACGAGAUUGCAAACAAUCCGUUAGAAAAAAGGAACAAGGAACAUUAUGGGAACUUGAAGGUUGCAAAGACAUGAAUCAAGAGUUUAAUGGACAAGAUAGAAUUCGAAACCAGUCCGGUUAAAACAAGAUGAGAGGGGAAGAAUUCGGGCAGCACUUCGGUUGAACAUGGAAGGAAUUGAACAUGAACUUGACAAGAUGAGAGGAUACUUGAUGAAAUGAACAACACACUGCCUCCGGAACUAUUGAAAGAAUGGCACAAGGGGUAAGAAAGAUUUCAGACAGCUCUCCAGUUGAGGAAGGAGGGAAAACUUGAUAAAAUUAAAGAACUCGAAUGAAAACACGACACUUCGGUUAAAUGGAUAAGUAAGGAAAAGAACAUGAACUCCAAAAUGAUAUAAUGGGUCAAAGAAAACAUCACAAUGCCUUCGGGACAAAUGAAAGAGUGGAAUCGAGAGAACAGAGAAGAGAAUAACAACUUCUAUCACAAUUGAAUUUGAAAGAGCCUCCUUAAAAAGAAGGAUUGAACGGAGUUGUUAGAAAACCAACAACGAAAAGAAUAAGCUUGUAGUGGACUUAUUGAAACAUCUCAACAUUAUGAGAUGACAAAUGGCCACUAAAGGAAGACAUUGAUUUGAGUGAGAGCACCAAGGCGAUGAAAAACUUCUUUCACCAAGAGGAUAGGAGAAAACUUGGAUCAUUGAUAAGCACCAUAAUAGCAACAUUCCUUAGGGAAGGCUUUAGGUGAAAACAUGACACAAGAUAAAUCCAACGAAGAGAUUGAUGGAUUUAAAAUACCUCAUUCUUGACAACAUGUGAAUCAUGAAACAUGAAUGAAAUUGUCAAAAUGACAUAACACGACCUGAAAAGAUAAGGUCGAAAGAAUUGCACUUCGGAAUGCAAGAUGAAGAAUGCUUGAACUCCUCAAAACAAAACAUGUGUUGAGCACCAUGUUUAUUUUGAAGUAUGGCUUGAUGGAUCUUAACUUCGAGAGAAAUCUUGAUGAACAAUUGAAGAAUGAAAAGAAUCCUUGACGAAGCACCAUGUAGAGCCUCCAUGAAGAACUCCGGUAAACAAAAGGGUGAUAGAAAGAAAGAGAAGUUGAAAACACAAGGUGAAGCCUUGCAAUGAUUUAGAUGGAUCUUCGUGAUGAUGAGAGCUUGGAACUCCGGGAAAAGAAAAGAUGAAACAACUGAAACCGAGAAUUUAUUCAUCAUGAACAAACUCCGAAAGAAGGAAUUAAUCACUUGGAUGAAACAAGAACAAGAAUUAUGUUAUGCGUAUCCUUCACCAAUUUAAAUUGAUGACAAGCAACGGAUUUGGCAUACUACUUAUUCUCGUAGAAAGGAUUAAGAGAGAUAUGGCGUAAACUUGAGAAGGUCUUCAAUGAACCACCGGUAGGAUUUGGAAAGAACGAAUGAAUUGAUAUGAUAACAAAGAAAGAGAACUCUUGAACGAACCACCGUAAGAAUUGAAAUUGAACGUAGCAAAUGCACAAAUCACCGGGAAGAAUUGCAAAAUGAAUGAAGAUACUUGAGGGUAUUUAGAUACAUGAGAACAAAGAGAUCAUGAACUGAUUAGAGGGUACUUGAAUGAUGCACCGGUAUGAUUUGGAGAACGAGAGCUGAAAGCUUGAAUGAAUAAUACUGAGAUGAUGGGCUUCAAAGAAUGAAACUGAAAAGACUCCUAAAAUGCUCCGGAUGGGUGAAAAAGAUUCUCACAAUCGAAAACAAUUAUGAGAGGAUGGCAACAGGCUAGCACCAUGAAUCUUGAAGAGAAUAGAGCAAGAUUAAAGAGAAACUCUUCUUCGAUCUUCAAAUGAUGAGAAUGACAACGAGAAACACCACCAAGAAUUAUUGAGGCACACCGGAAGAAUCAAAAGCGAAGAGGUUGAGCCAACUAUGAAAAGAAUUUGAAAGAUCUUGGAGAAAAGCAUUUGACUGAUGAUAAGUCAUUCUUACGUCAAACUUGGAGAAGAAUUUAGGAUAGCUCUAGGAAAAUAGAAGAGUCAGGUAAGAUCCUGGGAAAAGACCUGUGGGUUAGGGCCCACUCAAAAGAACACCGUUGAAAAGAUUUAAAAGAGAUGUUGCACCGGUUGAAUUAAAUGACUUGAAUGAGAUACCAAUCUCGAAAGAGCUUGAACGAAUGCAGAGUGGAAACACGAAUCUUCGAGAUAUCUUGAGCACUCCGGAAUAACAAAUAGCGAGAAGUAGAAUGAUAAUGAGGUGCACCGGUAUGAGAAGACAUUGAAAUGAGGAAAAAGGUAUGAUCAACAAAACUUGACUUGAAUCCACCGGAGAAGAGAAAGGAAUGAGGAAUGACGAACUAGUAGAACAUCUUCUUGAGAACCACCAGGUAAGAACAUUGACGAAAAAGAAUGGAGAAACUUCACAAAAAUAAAAGUAUACUUGGUAAAGAAAUCUUAGUCCUUGAGGAAAAAGGGUGGGUGGGCGGGAAAAAACAAAGGCAACUUAGAGACGGAUGAAACAAACACCGUUGAGAAGAAAUGAUAAUUGGUCUUGCUGAUGUUGAAGUGAUCGGAUCCACUUGAAGAGAAACACGCCGGUUGAAAAGGAUUGACAUGACAAUCUCGAUUGUCGAGAAGGAUUGGUAUUCACAUCGGAGUAUGAGAACACCAUUUCGGAAAGGUAUGGAAUCAACACUUGACAUUGAAGCAACUCGAAUACCACAACUCAAAACAAAAAACAAAGGGCUGGCUUGCAGAAUAAGCCGGAACAAACAUAUGAUAGAGAUUUCGUCCGAAGUUUUCGUGGUGGGGCCUACACGGGCUCGAUCGUACAACACCAUCAUGUACAAGGCAGUGCACAUGACAUACGAAGCGUCCCCGAGUCGGCAUAGCCAAGGACUCUUUAAGACACAACGAGACCACUGUAAAACCAACCGUGAAUAGGCGGACCACUAGACGUUGAACCCCAAUUUCAUAUCAUACAUCCGUCGGAAAGAUAUCCUAAGAGCUACUUGAAUUCCCACCUAUGAAACUCCCGAAAUUCUCCGGUUAUGCAAUCAGGUGUUGGGGAUACAGGGGAAGCAUAAUAUCUUACCCAAAACUAGCAAAUCCUACAUCCAGCUGUAUCCAUCCUUCAACACAUAACCAAGAAACCUUCGGAAAUCGUCUACCUCAACCUUCGAAAAGCAUCCGUUAUACAAGUUAUGGCGAUACUCCCGAACUCCCGCCCCAGUACUGGGUGGCGACGAGGUUAUCUCACCAACGAACUGCAUAAAAGAGAUUUUCGAUGUCGGCGUACUAAACUCAGGUAUUCCAGAACUGCAACGAUAAAAUUAUGGCGACAACACCUCAGAGCUCAACUCCCCGGGACACUUCCACUAAACCCCUGACAGGAGGCACCAAGACAAUAUUCUCAUCAUAAAACCAUCGGAACGAUUCCAAGAUACCCGCGUGAUCCUAAAUUUUUUUUAGUGAAAUUUCAGAAGAGAAGAGUCAAAACUCUACGUCAGGAUGCCUUACCAGAGCGAUGAAGAGACUGGGGAGUAAAAAGAAUUCCUAACUCUCCAAUAUAUAUAAUCCUAAAUGACUCAAAACAUUUUUCUAGACACAACUCGGCGGCUAAAAACGAUCAAGCAGUGGGGCUCCUAAGGUCGGGGAAGGCUCUGAUUACCAACUUGUAACGCCCUCGAUGCGGCUAUAUCUCCCACGUGUCGGAGCACGACUUAGAGGCAUAACCGCAUUGAAAGCAAUGUCACAAGUGAGGUAAUCUUCACACAACCCAUGUAAUACAUAAGGGAAAGAGAUACAUAGUUGGCUUACAAUCGCCACUUCACACAAUACAUGAGUAAAGCAUUACAUCAUACAGAUACAAUCAAGGUCUGACUACGGAACCAAAAUAAAAGAAGACUACCCCAAAUGCUACACAGAUCCCCGAUCGUCCCAACUGGGCUCCACUACUGAUCAACUGAAACGAAACAACACAAUGAACAAGAUCUUCAUCGAGCUCCUCCUUGAGCUUGGACGCGUCACCUGCACGGUUUCAUCGGCACCUGCAAACUGGUUUUGGAAGUAUCUGUGAGUCACGAGGACUCAGCAAUCUCACACCCGCGAGAUCAAGACUAUUUAAGCUUAUAGGAAGGAUGGAGUAAUGAGGUGGAGCUGCAGCAAGCGACUAGCAUAUAUGGUGGCUACAAUCGCAAAAGAGAGCGAGAAGAGAAGCAAGGCACGGUCAUGAAGCUAGUAGCGAUCAAGAAGUGAUCCUGAAACUACUUACGUCAAACAUAACUCCAACACCGUGUUCACUUCCCGGACUCCGCCGAGAAGAGACCAUCACGGUUACACACGCGGUUGAUGUAUUUUAAUUAAGGUCAACUUUAGGUUUUCUACAACCGGACGUUAACAAAUUCCCAUCUGCCUCAUAACCGCGGGCACGGCUUUCGAAAGAUAAUACCCUGCAGGGGUGUCCCAACUUAGCCCAUUAUAAGCUCUAGCGAUCAACGAAGGAUAUUCCUUCUACCGGGAAGACCCGAUCAGUCUCGGAAUCCCGGACUACAAGACAUUUCGACAGUAAUAAAACAAGACCAGCAAAGCCGCCCGGAUGUGCCGACAAAUCCCGAUAGGAGUCGCACGUACCUCGUUCUCAGGGCACACCGGAUAGGUCAGCCUACGAGUAAAACCAGCCCUCGAGUUGCCCCGUGGUGGCCCCGUAGUCUGCCCGUUUCGGACCAACACUCGAAGGAGCACUGGCCCGGGGGGGGGGCUAAAAUAAAGAUGACCCUUGAGUCUGCAGAACCCAAGGGAAGGGGUAUAUGUGGUAGGUAGUCAAAUGGUAAAACCAAGGUUGGGCCUUGCUGGAGGAGUCUUAUUCAAAGCGAACUGUCAAGGGGGUCCCAUAAAUCACCCAACCGCGUUAGGAACGCAAAAUCCGGGAACAUAAUACCGAUAUGACGGAAACUAGGGUGGCAAGAGUGGAACAAAACACCAGGCAUAAGGCCGAGCCUUCCACCCUUGACCAAGUAUAUAGGUGCAUUAAUUAAAUAAGAGAUAUUGUGAUAUCCCAACAAGUAAACAUGUUCCAACAAGGAACAACAUCUCCAUGUUCCAACAAGGAACAAACUUCACCUUCACCUGCAACUAACAACGCUAUAAGAGGGGCUGAGCAAAGCGGUAACAUAGCCAAACAAUGGUUUGCUAGGAAAGGAUGGUUAGAGACUUGACAUGGCAACAUGGGAGGCAUGAUAUAGCAAGUGGUAGGCAUCAUAGCAUAGGCAUAGCAAAAGAGCGAGCAUCUAGCAAGCAAAGAUAGAAGUGAUUUCGAGGGUAUGGUCAUCUUGCCUGAGAUCCCGCUAGGAAGAAGAACGAGUCCACGAACAAGACAAACGGACGAAGUCGAACGGAUCCUCACAACUCCGGAACGAAACCAAAGCUAACGAGAGAAGCAACCCGGAAAGAAACAAACAACAUAGUAAACAACCAUCACAUAAACAUGGCAUGAAGCACAAUCAAGUAUGAUGCAUGUCCGGUUUAAUGAGGCAUGGCAUGGCAAUAUGCACAAACAACACUACAAGUUAAGUGGAGCUCAAUAUGCAACGAGUUGCAUAUUGACGGAACACCACAUUAAUUGUUUAGUUUCUCUCUCGGCUAUGAACAAGACAAGAUUAAAUGUUGGUUAACAUGGCAAGAGGUGAAGCAUAAUGAAAACUACCUAUGUAGGCAAGUUUAAAUGAGGCCGGAACAACUCACAACAAUUCCAGAAAAUCCCCACAUGUUAUUUAGCAAUUUAAUGCAACAACAAGUUUAAACAUUCUAAAUGUUGUUAUCAUGAUGCGGAUGACAUAUACAAGUUAUAUGCAAUUUUUAUGAAAAUGUUGACAUAAGCAUGUUAUGAAGCAUUUAUCACCGUGGUGGAAGAAAGGGGUGCCACGGCAACGAAUCCGAAAAUGAUGCCACGGCAACAUAUCGGUUCCGGUAGCUCAUGGAGAUACCGGUGCAAAAGGAAGCGUGCGGAUGUGCGGAACAUGCUAGAGAUGGUGGGGUGAUCCCGGUUACCGGGUUCCCACGGGUCAUCGGCAUGGCGAACGAGGAGGAACGUGCAUGAAGCAAACGGGCACGGUGCAAACAUAGGGUGCAUCUCAUACAACACAUGCAUUCGGUCCACGGACGGCGUCUCGGGGUUAUACCUUCGAGGCAUGCAUUUUCAAAGCGGACCGGUUCAGAGAGGAAGUAGUCGUUCACAGGUCGUCGAGGGAAGUAAAGGAAGUAGUUGUUCCGCGACGGUAGUAGUGGAAGUAGUCGUUCUCGCACGCUCUAGGGUCGAGGGUAGAGGUUCUCGCGAUCUCGGCGACGGUAGUGGUACAUGUGACGGCGGGGUACUUGUUGUUCCGGUUUUUGCGUCCGUAGAUGUACGCGGCAAUCGUAGUGGUACUUGGCGGUUCCUUGUAGUAGAACUUGACGAUCCGAGGGGGUACUUGGCGCAUCACCGUGUAGUUGUACAUGGUUCAAACAAAGGCAUUGACACAUCUGGAGGGGCAUCGAGGGACUCGUCAAGGCCCUGCCUCGGGAGGUCACCGGAGAUGCAUGGAGGCAGCUCGAGCUGCUGGCUGUUGGUAGCAUGUGCGGGCGGCGUGUGGAGGCGGAGUAGGGAACUUGGCACGACCGAGACAGGGGGCGAGCCGCGCGGUUGGUUGAUGGUAGCCGCGGCCAUGGUGGUGGUCGCCACAAAGCAGAGGAGGCCGGGACUUGGCGUUGGACGAUGCGGUCGGCAUCGGCCUUGACGUGCAGCAGGGGAGGCGGAGCUCGUGCUCGAAGAGGAGACAAGGUGGCGCGACGCGAGGGGACGCGAGCUCCAUGGCAGAGGGAGCGAUGACGUGCCUGCUCCCCUGCUCGAGAUCGAGCGAGGACGAGGGAAGCAGAGGAGGUCGAGGUCGAGGUCGAGGAGGCUGGACGUCGGCGGGGCUCGAGACGGGGGUGACGACGUGGAUCCGGCGGGGCGGAGCUUGGGGAGGCGACGCCAUGGAGGACGGCGACGAAGCGGAGGCGAAGGAGCUGCUCGGCAGCGCUCGCUUCUGGCGGGGUCGAGGGAGGAGCGGGCGGCGGCCUGGCGACGCGGUCCCCGUUGGAGCUCGAGGGAGAGGGCGAGAGGAGGGGGAUCGAGCGAGAGAUGCGGGGGAACGAGGGAGAGAUGGCUCCUGGCGGCGGGGGAUGGACGAGGGGAAGAGAUGGGGAUCGGGCAGGGUUAGCUAGGGUUCGGGAGGCGGCUGCCGGAUGGGCCAUAGAGGCCGGCGGCUGGGCUCUCCUCUCUCUCUCUCUCUCUCUUUCUCUCAAAAGAAAAGAAACAAAAUAGAGAUAAGAAAUAAAAGAAAGAGAGGGUUACGAAAAGAAUUUGGGCAUGGGGUUAAUUUACUUGGACUCACAAAAAUGUGCACGGUCCAUGAAAAAUAGGAGUGGCAAGAUUGCAGGAAUUAAAUUCAAAGUCAUUUGAAUUUAAUUCAAAAGGUUUGAGCAAGGACUAGGAAUUAGAGGUUUCCAAAAAUGUUGGGAUUUUUGGUGGAGCUCCGGAAGAUGAUGAAAGAAUAAAUGGCAAAGUUGGAGAUCAAGAAUUAAGACAACAAAGGCAUUAGGAUAUUUUGUAAGUGUGUUUGCGGUAAAUCCAAAUAAUUGGAAUAUUUACUUUAGCUCUCUAAAUAUCGAGAGGAUAUGUUUUAAAGAGAAUCACCAUGUGAAUUCCCUCGAUUUAAAUGGAUCAAAGAUCCAUGCCAUUUAUUUAGUUGAGUUGCAAAAGAUUUAUGAGAUGAUGGCAUGAUGACAUGAUGCAAUGCAAAAAUAAAUAGAGCAAGCACAAAUAAAAA
rnacentral:lncRNA from 1 species